GCCUACCGUAAAAAUUAAUUUACAUCAACAAACGCCAGGGUAUUACGAGCACAAGCUUAAAAUCCAAAGGAUUUGACGGUGUCCCACCCACCUAGAGGAGCCUGUUCUAUAAUCGAUAAUCCUCGAUACACCCCACCAUUUCUCGCUUUUUCAGCCUGUAUACCUCCGUCGUAAGCUUACCAUUUGAGUGCUAAAAAGUAAGUUUAAGGAUUUAUCAUCAACACGUCAGGUCAAGGUGCAGCCAAUGAAAUGGUAAGCAAUGGGCUACAAUUUCUAUAAUAGAACAAACGAAACACUACAUGAAAAAUAGUCAUGAAGGCGGAUUUAGUAGUAAAGAGGGAGUAAAGUGCCCCCUUUAAUAAGGCUCUGGGACGUGUACAAACCGCCCGUCACCCUCUUCAAUUGUAAUCUCUUAGAUUCUUAACACCCCUUAACACUUUAGAAGAGGCAAGUCGUAACAUGGUAAGUGUACUGGAAAGUGUACUUGGUAAA
rnacentral:rRNA from 1 species